AGUCGAGCGAACAGACGAGGAGCUUGCUUCUCUGACGUUAGCGGCGGACGGGUGAGUAACACGUGGAUAACCUACCUAUAAGACUGGGAUAACUUCGGGAAACCGGAGCUAAUACCGGAUAAUAUAUUGAACCGCAUGGUUCAAUAGUGAAAGACGGUUUUGCUGUCACUUAUAGAUGGAUCCGCGCCGCAUUAGCUAGUUGGUAAGGUAACGGCUUACCAAGGCAACGAUGCGUAGCCGACCUGAGAGGGUGAUCGGCCACACUGGAACUGAGACACGGUCCAGACUCCUACGGGAGGCAGCAGUAGGGAAUCUUCCGCAAUGGGCGAAAGCCUGACGGAGCAACGCCGCGUGAGUGAUGAAGGUCUUCGGAUCGUAAAACUCUGUUAUUAGGGAAGAACAAAUGUGUAAGUAACUAUGCACGUCUUGACGGUACCUAAUCAGAAAGCCACGGCUAACUACGUGCCAGCAGCCGCGGUAUUACGUAGGUGGCAAGCGUUAUCCGGAAUUAUUGGGCGUAAAGCGCGCGUAGGCGGUUUUUUAAGUCUGAUGUGAAAGCCCACGGCUCAACCGUGGAGGGUCAUUGGAAACUGGAAAACUUGAGUGCAGAAGAGGAAAGUGGAAUUCCAUGUGUAGCGGUGAAAUGCGCAGAGAUAUGGAGGAACACCAGUGGCGAAGGCGACUUUCUGGUCUGUAACUGACGCUGAUGUGCGAA
rnacentral:rRNA from 1 species